UUCUGACCUAAUCUCGUGGAACUAUUAGGUACUAUCAUGGUAAUGAGUCAAAGAGGCUCUGAUGACUUGUUACUUUACGUUAAAUGGUGUUUGGUAUUGCCACUCACCAGUCAGUUUCCAAAAGUUGAACAAAAAAUUUCAGGAUUUCUAAAUCGUGCAAUGAAUGUAGAUGUUUAGCUUUCCUGAAGAAAUAUGCCUAUUUGAUUGUGCAUUGCCAAUUUCUUUUCCAGAGGAUUCAUUUGUUUCUUUUUAAUGUAAUUAAUGGGCUUUGGUUCUUCUUUUUAGGGAUCUUUGGUCUUAGGAUUAAUAGAGCCAAAUAUUAUGUAUUUGACAAUGAUUGUGAUAAUGAGAACUUGAGAGUCAGGAUGUUGAGCUCAUAUAUCUACGGUUUUUAGUUUCCCUAUUAUUAUCUCGGUUGUAGGGCGAAAUUAAUUAGUUGUAUUGUUGUUUCCGUUCUAUUAUCCAUUCACUGACAUGUUACCAUUUGUUACUGUGGGUACUGGUUCUGUCAGUUGAGUUCUGUAAGUUACUGUGGGUGCUGGUUUCUUAUAAUAAUUAUUUAUCCUCUAAUUAAUCCUCUUUGGUAAAAAUUUUAUUCGUAGUUUGAUAAUCAUUUGGUUUUUGGUUUUUUGUUUCUUAAAAUUAGACUUAUAAACACUACUUCCACUUUGAGUUUUUUGCUUUGUUAUCUAUUUUUUAGUAAUGUUCUUAAAAUCUAAGUCAAGUUUUAAAAACUAAAAAAAUUUUGUUUUUGAUUUUGGAAUUUAGUGCAUAGAUUCUUUUCCUUUGGAUAGAUGAAAACCACUUCAAAGAAUUUGUAAGAAAACAGCCACAAUUUAAAAUAAAA